AGAAAAGAAAGAAAAAAAAACUUUAAAAAAAAGUAAAAAACUUUCUGGCGCUCUGCUAGGGUUUAAUACCCAAGCUUCCUCGCGCCGCUUCCCUAUCACCCUCCGCCGCGACUCCGUGUAAUCGGAGGCCGGAGGGGUGCCAGAUCUGGGCUCUUUAACCCCUCCUAACAACUCUUGAAGGCCAAGGUAAGUCUCCCUUCCUUUAUUCUUUUUAUUUUCGUACACAAAAGCACAAAUAAAAAAAAAUCGAAACUUCAAAUAAUCACCUUAAAAAUACUGAUGUUUGCUUUGUUUUCUCUUUGAUCUCCCCUUUCUUUUUACAAAAGACCGACUGUUUUAUAGCCUAACAAUAACCUAUUUUCCUUGUCUUUUGUUGUUUUACAUUAUUUGGACUCUUUGAGUCCGUUUUACAAGUAUUUGAGGAGCGAACGGCGUGCGUGGGGAAGCCGAUCUCCGAGUCUUGCGGCGACUGGACGUUGGGCGCGACGUGGGGCUGAUGGGGUUUGCGGCGCUAGACAUACGGCUAGGGUUUGGGUGUUUUGGGGUCUGGUUUAGGAUAAAUUGAUUUGGGCUGGGUUAUUGGGCUUGUUUGUUUCUUUGGGUUUUAUUUUUAACAGGCCGGAUAAAAUUGGGCCCUACAGCUGCCCCUCUUUGCUUGUUGUCGUGUAACGAGAACAGAGCAAAGACCACAAGGCCCAAUUGUGCCCGGUCUUAUUGAUCCUCAACUUCUUUAAUGCUUUUCUUCUUCAGGUAGCCUUGUUCCUUCCUACUGCAUCUUCAGAGGUAUAGGAACUGGUGCUUCAAUCCACUCCACUGCAAUGUCGGGGAGAUAGGAUUCAUAUGUUGUAGUUUCUCAAAAGAACAAAAUCUACUAUCUUUAAUCUGCUCCACUGCAACUUCAGGGAGACAAGUCUUAUAGCUUCAACUUGUUCUGCUACAAUUUAAGGGUAAAUCUGAUGUGAUCUGCUCUACUGCAACUUCAGAGAGAUAAGAUCUGCGGUUUUAAUCCACUCUGCUGCAACUUCAAGGAGAUUGGAUUGGUUACUUUAGUCUGCUCCACUGCAACUUCAGGGAGAUAAGACUUGUAUAUUCGAUCUACUUCACCACCAGUAUGGGAAGAUAAAAUAUGUAUAUUCAAUCCACUUCGCUACCGAUAUAGGAAGACAGGACCUACUAUCUUUGAUCUACUUCACACCAGUACAUGAAGAUAAGAUCUAUUUUCUUCGAUCUACUCCACCACCAGUAUGGGGAGACAAGAUCUGCUUUCUUCGAUCGAUUCCACUGUCGACUGGGGAGAUAGAAUUACUGGCUUCAAUAUACUUCACUGCAACUUCAGGGAGGUAAAAUCUGCCAUCUUCGAUCUGCUCCGCUGUCUAUGCAGGAAGACAAGAUCUGAAAUCUUCAAUCUAUUCCACUGCUGUCCAGGGAAGUAGAAUUACUGGCUUCAAUGUACUCCACUGUAAUGUAUCUCAAGGAGAUAGGAUUCGUAUGUUGUAGCUUCUCAAAAGAACUAAAUUUGCUAUCUUCAAUCUACUCCACUGCAACUUCAGGGAGACAAGACCUGUAGCUUCAAUUUGUUCUGCUACAACUUAAGGAUAAAUCUGAUGCGAUCUGCUCUCUGCAACUUCAGAGAGAUAAGAUCUUGUGGUUUUAAUCCACUCCAUUGCAACUUCAAUGAAAUGGGAUUGGUUACUUCUGUCUGCUCCACUGCAACUUCAGGGAGAUAAGACUUGUAUCUUCGAUCUACUUCACGCCAAUACAUGAAGACAAGAUCUGUUUUCUUCAAUCUACUUCGCCACCAGUAUGGGAAGACAAGAUCUGGUAUCUUUGAUCUAGUUCACGCUAGUACAUGAAGACAAGAUCUGCUUUCUUCGAUCUACUUCGCCACCAGUAUGGGAAGACAAGAUCUGUAUAUCUUUGAUCUACUUCACGCCAGUACAUGAAGACAAGAUUUGUUUUCUUCAAUCUGCUUCGCCACCAGUAUGGGAAGGCAAUAUCUGUUAUCUUUGAUCUACUCCACGCCAGUACAUGAAGACAAGAUCUACUUUUUCCUUCGAUCUGCUUCGCCACCAGUAUAGGAAGGCGAGAUCUGUAUAUUCGAUCCACUUCGCUACCAAUAUAGGAAGACAAGACCUGCUGCUUUUCAACCUGCCCCAUUGUUGCUUAGGGCAAUAAAGCUUUGUGAUUUCACCGAUCUGUUCUCUGUGAAACAUGACCUGUAUAAUUCACUUUAUGAACCUAAUUAUGCCUAAUGAUUAGGAUGUCAUGAUUAGAAUGAAUCAAAUACUCCUAACUAGGCGUGUAUAAAUGACAUUUGAAUGUUAUGUCAUGAAAAAUGCAUAUUAAAUAUUUAAAGUCAUUAUUGCUCAUUAAGGCUUCCUUUGUGGCAACAAUGCUUCGUCAAAACUUGAAAAUUUUAAUCUUGACUCUUGACUCCCAGAUAUCUCCGACCUUUUAACCCGGUGAAGGUCUAAACAAUAGUCCUGUUUCAGGUUCCUGAGCUGUUUAAAGAUUUCUAGAGUAAUAUGAAAAACUUUCAUUGUGAAAGUUUUACUAGUCCAUUAAUCGUCAUUCUAAUGCAACAUGCCUGCGAAAAGAUCGUAACGAUGAAUAAAACAAAGUUAAUUUGGGGGCAUAGCCCGCAAUGAAUUGUCAAUGAUAGAGGAAUUAUCUGGGGACAUUUAUAUUGGAAAAGAAUGAAAUAUUCUAAAACAACGAAUACAAAUACUAUGAUCAAGUGCCCCAGAUAUCUCUGCUUGAAUUUCUCUAUACAACUUUCGAAGACCCUUCUGAACUCAACACGUGUUUAGGAGAUUCACAGUAGUUUGUUGAUGCCCCAAGAUGUCGUCUAUUCCUUUUCUGCUGAUUUAGGUAUAGCAAGACUACCACGUGCCAAUCAAAAUUUGAGCCGCCCUUUUCGGAUUUUCAACUCAAAUCCCCUUUGGUCUUAAGGUGCCCUUUGCGGGUUUUCACCCUAGCCUCUCUAUUUUUUUUUUGGAAUCAAAGCGCCCUUUGCGGGUUUUCACCUUGGUUCCUUCCCUUCUUCAAGUAAAGUAUCUCUUGACUGAAUCUGAAUUUACUGGAUUAGGCAAUGUUCUUCCAUCCAUUUCAGCCAGGAUCAGGGCUCCUCCAGAAAAGGCCUUUUUGACAACAUAAGAACCUUCCAAAUUCGGCAUCCAUUUCCCCCUAAAAUCUUUUUGUAGAGGGAUAAUUUUUCUCAACACCAGGUCCCCCUCGUGAAAUUCUCUAGGUCGGACCUUCUUGUUGUAGGCUCGCAUCAUUCUUUUCUGGUACAUCUGACCAUGCUGAAUAGCCUUUAGCCUUUUUCCCUCUACCAAGUUCAAUUGGUCGUAUCGAGACUGAACCCAUUCUGCUUCAUCCAAAUGUAGCUCGGUCAAAACCCGGAGAGAAGGGAUUUCAACUUCGAUGGGCAAAACUGCCUCCAUGCCAUAAACUAAGGAGAAAGGCGUUGCCCCGGUGGAGGUCCUGAUUGACGUUCGAUAAGCAAUGAGGGCAAACGGUAACUUCUCAUGCCAGUCCCUGUAAGUCUCAGUCAUCUUCCCCACAAUCUUCUUUAUAUUUUUAUUGGCCGCUGCCACUGCACCAUUCAUUUUUGGGCGAUACGGCGACAAAUUGUGAUGUCUGAUCUUGAAUUGACUACAGACUUCUGCUAUGGAGCUAUUAUUCAAGUUCAACGCAUUGUCGGAUAUGAUUCUUUCAGGCAUUCCAUACCGACAUAUGAUCUCCCUUUUCAAGAACUUACUGACUGAUGACUUUGUAAUGUUAGCAUACGACGCAGCCUCUACCCAUUUGGUGAAGUAGUCAAUAACCACGAAUAUGAAACGAUGCCCAUUUGAAGCCUUCGGUGAUAUUGGCCCGAUGACAUCCAUACCCCACAUGGAGAAAGGCCAUGAAGAAGUCAUGACAUGAAGAGGUGAAGGAGGUGCAUGCAUUUUAUCACCAUAGAUUUGACAUUUAUGGCACUUUUUGGAAUAAUUAAUGCAAUCUCAUUCCAUGGUGGACCAGUAGUACCCGAAUCUCAUAAUCUGCCUAGCCAUUGUGAACCCGCUGGCAUACGUUCCGCAGAUGCCCUCAUGGACUUCCUCCAGAAUUUUCUUUGCUUCUACGGCGUCCACACAUCUUAGCAGUACCUGAUCUUUUCCCCUCUUAUACAAGAUCUCCCUAUCUAAAACAUAAUAAAUGGCUAGUCUUCUCAGAGUUCUCUUUUCAUUCUCCGUUGCCUGGCCAGGAUACUCACGAUUUUUUACAUACCGUAGUAUAUCUUGAUACCAAGGACUAUCAUCGAUUUCCCCUUCUUCAAUAUUGUAACAAUGAGCCGGAUCUUCAUAGAUACUCAUUUGGAUUGGUUCAUAUCCCCAUGUCUGCUCAGCUUGAUCAUGGAAGCUAAGGUAGCCAGUGCAUCAGCCAUCUGGUUCUCAUCUCGUGGGAGAUAGCAAAAAGUGAUGUCCUCAAACUCCUUAAUCAAUUCGAGGACCAACUUUCGAUAACUGAUUAAUUUGGGAUCUCUCGUUUCCCAUUCACCCCUGAGCUGAUAUAUCACCAAUGCUGAAUCUUCAUAGACCUCUAGCACUUUGAUUUCUCGCUCUAUAGCUGCACGAAUACCCAUGACGCAUGCUUCAUUUCUGCCAUGUUAUUUGUACAAUCAAAAUCCAAUUUGCAGGUGAAAGGAUAAUGAUCACCAUUUGGGGACACCAGGACUGCCCCAAUUCCAUUGCCUACAGCGUUCGAGGCUCCAUCAAAGUUUAGCUUCCAACUGUGACCUUCUUGGGAACUUUCUUCAGUAGAGGCUACAUACAACAAGUCUUCAUUCGGAAAAUCAAAACUUAACGGUUCGUAAUCUUCCAAAGCCCUGCUAGCCAGAAAGUCAGCAAUUGCACUCCCUUUUACAGCAUUCUGGCUCACAUAGACAAUAUCAAAUUCAUACAGUAAGAUCUACCAUCGGGCCAUCCUCCUAUUCAAAGCAGUUGACUCCAUCAUAUACUUUAACGGGUCUAACUUUGAAAUUAGCCAGGUCGUGUGGUAUAACAUAUACUGUCUUAAUCUCCGAGUUGUCCAAAUCAAGGUACAACAUAGCUUCUCAAUAGGCGAAUAUCUCAUUUCACAGUCAGUGAAUUUCUUGCUGAGAUAAUAUAUCACCAUUUCUUUUCUCCCUGUUUCAUCAUGUUGGCCUAGCACACACCCCAUGGAAUUAUCAAAUACUGUCAGAUACAAUAUCAGGGGCCUAUCCGGGCUAGGUGGUGAUAGCACUGGAGUAUUAGACAAAUACUGCUUCACCUUGUUAAAGGCUUCUUCGCAUUCUUCAUCCCAAGUACCAGGAUUAUGUUUCUUCAGAAGACAAAAUAUAGGGUCACAUUUCUCGGUUAGUUGUGAAAUGAACCUAGCAAUGUAGUUCAGUCUUCCGAGGAAUCCUCGAACUUCUUUCUGAGUGCGGGGUGAAGGUAAAUCCCGUAUUGCCUUCACUUUGUCUGGAUCAAUCUCGAUUCCCUUUUCACUGACCACAAAGCCUAACAAUUUUCCUGACCUAGCCCCAAAAGUGCACUUCGCCGGAUUAAGCUUGAGCUGGAACUUUCUCAAUCUUAAGAAUAGUUUUCUCAAGACCUGCACAUGUUCCUCCUCCGUUCUGGACUUCGCAAUCAUAUCGUCAACAUAAACUUCGAUUUCCCUGUGCAUCAUAUCAUGGAACAAGGCUACCAUGGCUCUUUGAUAUGUCGCUCCCGCAUUCUUUAAUCCAAACGGCAUCACUUUAUAACAAAAUGUCCCCCAUAACGUAAUGAGGUAGUCUUUCUCAUGUCAUCAGGAUACAUCUUUAUCUGAUUGUACCCCGAAAAGCCAUCCAUGAAGGAAAAUAAUGAAAAGCCCGCAGUAUUGUCUACCAAUGUGUCGACGUGGGGCAAUGGGAAGUUAUCCUUUGGACUAGCCUUGUUCAAAUCCCUAUAGUCCACACACAUUCACACCUUCCCAUCUUUCUUCGGAACUGGUACAAUGUUGGCCACCCAUUCAGAAUACUUGACCUCUUGCAAAAAUCCAGCAUCAAACUGCUUUUGGACCUCCUCCUUUAUCUCCAACACGAUAUCAGGCCUCAUCCUUCUGAGCUUUUGCUGCACUGGCUUGUAAUAUUCUCUUAUAGGAAGACGAUGGACUACGAUAUCGGUACUCAACCCCGGCAUAUCCUGGUAUGACCAUGAAAACACGUCCUUGAACUCUCGGAGUAAUUCGAUGACGUCUUGUUUUGUCUUUGCAGAGAUGUCCGACCCGAUCUUCACCUCUUUACCUUCCUCCAAGCUCACAAUUUCUAUUGAUUUCCUGUGGGGUAAGAUUUGCUUCUCGGCCCAUUCUACCAUUUUCAAUAAGUCCGGAGAUAAACCACAGUCUUCAACAUCUUCAAAAUCAUGCGACCCCUCUAAACACAUGUUUCGUUCAAAAGGGAAUUCUGAAUUUGUAAGAGUGACAUUCGUAUCAUUGAUAUCGUAGGACCUGUUAUGAAGAACAGUAUGGAUUUAGGAAUUCGUUUGGUGCAAUAUGGUCAUGAAUGAAAUACAAGUGUAGUUUGAGAGAAAUUCAAAAUAACUGCUCUUAUGGAAAGAAAGAUUUGCUUCAAAAAAUGACUGAAAAACAUGAACUUUAUUAAAAUAAUGAUUUUCUGGACAUGAGCCUAUUUCACAAAGGAAUCCUUAUCACUUCUAGGCUAAAAAGCAAUAAGGGUGUUCUGGACAUUACUCUGAGGAAAUCUUAAAAGCUACAGGUAUUUCUUCUGCAGUCCAGUUGUUUAGUGCCCUUCCCGACUCGUAAGGACGAAUAUCCCGCAAGGUUCUUCCUCCCGUUGCUUCUUCAUACAUGGCAUGAAUACUCUCCAACUCCGUGUUAAUACUUCUGACCCCUUGAUAGAGGAAUCCUCCCGAUACAAAAGUCUUGGAUAAGUGAGGAAAGGUCAUGGGUUCCAAUUCGACUUCAUCCCCUGUCAAACGAGCCAUUCUUCUCUCACGCUUCUUUUCUUACUCUAUCUUCCUCUGCCUAGCAUCUGGCUUGUAACCUAAGCCAAAACGGUCCUGCUUGUCCUUCAAUACUGGAGCCUCACCUCGGCCCUGAAGGUAUCUCCCCAAUCCUUUCCCUGGCAAAACUCCUUUUCCAACUGUUAAUUGCAGCCCCAUCCCUGUGGUCUUUGAUAUUCUCGGUAUCGGGAUCUUGUUUCCCUCAAGGAUGAAUGUUGCAUUUACAAAUUCCAAUGACCGAAAAGAGCACUCGAUUGCAUCAUCACUCGUCUCCAAAUAAGGCGCAUCGUUAGUCACAGAUGCAAUGAUAUCUUCUUCAGCAUCUAUCGUCACUACCCGGCCUUCUGACACCAGUUUCAGUUUUUGAUGUAAUGAUGACGGUACCGCACCUGCUGAAUGAAUCCAAGGCCUUCCUAAUAGGCAACUGUAAGAAGGCUUGAUGUCCAUAACCAAGAAGUCUACCUCAUAGACAGUUGGGCCAAUUAACAAGGGUAUGUCAAUUCUUCCCAUGACUUUCUUCUCGGUGCCAUCAAAUGCUCUCACCACAUUCUGACACGAUUUCAUAUGCGAGCUAUCCACAGGUAGCCUGUUGAGCGUGGAUAGGGGCAAUACAUUUAAUGCAGAUCCAUUGUCUACCAGAACUCCUGGUAAUAUGCACCCCUUACACCUUACAGUGAUGUGUAAAGCUCUAGUUGAUCCUAUACCCCCAGGUGGUAUUUCGUCGUCGCUGAAAGAGAUGAAGUUAUCAGUGCUUAUAUUACCGACCAGUCGAUCCAACUUGCUAACAGAGAUAUCAUCGGCCACAUAAGUCUCAUUUAGCACCCUCAGUAGUGCAUUUCGAUGUCCCUCCAAGUUCAGGAGUAAAGCUAGCACAGAUAUGCGAGCUGGUUGUUUGUGCAGCUGUUCCACAACGCUAUACUUGCUAUGUUUUAUGAACUUUAAGAAUUCUCUAGCUUCCUCCUCUUUGAUUGGUUCAUUGAUCAACAAUUCAGGUUCGACCGCCUUCUUCUUCCUUCUAAUCGAAGUUUCUUCUCUUAUUGGCUCUACUCGAGCCUUCACCUGUUCGUCAUGCCCUCCUUCAUCAUGGUCCUCUUUAUUAAUCACGUCCUCCUUCCCCGGGAUUGUCACAUUACAAUUGUAAUUCCAAGGAACCCUCCUGUUAUCCUUGUAAGUAAACACGGUCGGUUUUUGAAUGAUAACCUCACUGUUCUGAGGUCGCGAGAUGAUGACCACAGGACGGUUAGCCCUCGGGACUCUCAACGCCAACUCUGACGUGCAUACAUGACUCUCCCUCUGAAUUUCUUCACAAAAUUCCACCUCUUUAUUAUCCAUCAUACCCUGUACCAAGGCUCUAAACUCCGUACACUCUUGGAUUUCAUGCCCCAUUUCACAGUGGAACUCACAGUAGUUCCUCCUAUUCUCACAGCUUUCUUCUGAAACAAUUAGCCCCCUUUUCACCAUCUCUUUCCAGACCCAUCUCAAAGGAGUUUUCACGUCCACAAUGUCUGCUUUGAUUUUUCUAUCCUCGCCCAUCAUAUUUAUUCCGCUGUCAGUAUGGUUUGGUAAUGGAUUUUCUGCUUUGGUGGCUUCAUCAAAUUUAACGACACCCAUACCAAUGAGCCUUUCAACCAGCUUCUUGAAGGCGAUACAGUUUUCUAUGGAAUGCCCCGUGAUUCCCGCAUGAUAGUCGCACUGUGCAUUCGCGUCGUACCAUUUGGGGUACGGGGGCUGUAAGGGCUUCAGAUAGAAAGGGGAAACUACAUGUGCGUCGAAUAAGUUUCAGUAUAAUUCCCUGUACGACAUAUGAAUUGGCGUGUAUUAGGGCCUCUCGACAUUCCGCCUUGUGCCGACCUCUUGUCUCGACGAGCUUUGCUGAUUGGCAGCCAUCUUUCCUGGCUGAUUCACUGUUACUGACUUCGAGUAACCCUUGUUGUACAUGCCCACGUUAUUCACCUCGUUUUCCUUCCUCUUCGAGGCUGAUCUUCUGUUACUCUCUCCCACAUCAAUAUUCCCACUCCUGAUGGCAUUCUCAAUCAUCUCGCCAUUCAUGACUAUGUCGGGAAAGCUUUUUGUGGCACUUCCUAGUAUAUGUGUAAUGAACGGUGCCUUCAGGGUGUUAAUGAAUAACAUUGUCAUUUCUUUUUCUAGGAGCGGCGGCUGAACCUGGACUGCAACCUCCCUCUAUCUCUGAGCGUACUGCCUGAAGCUUUCACUCGGCUUCGUCUCCAUGUUCUGAAGGCUGAUUCUGUCGGGAGCCAUGUCAGUCACAUGACUAUAUUGUUUCAUAAACGAUUGUGCCAAGUCCCUCCAUGACCCAAUCGUGGCACGACUCAACUGAUUGUACCACUUGGAUGCUGCCCCAGUAAGACUGUCUUGGAAACAGUGUAUCAAGAGUUGAUCGUUGUUAACAUAACCCGUCGUCAUUCACCUGCAGAACAUGGUGAUGUGAGCUGCUGGGCAGCUUGUCCCAUUGUACUUUUCAAAUUCAGGCAUCUUAAAUUUAUGAGGGAGUACUAAAUCUGGCACUAAACUCAGCUUUUUCGCGUCAAUGCCUCGAUAACUCUCAGCAACCUCCAUCGCCUUAAACUUCUCUUUGAGCCACCUGCAUCUUUCUUCGAACUGUUUCGGUAAUUCUUCCUUCACUCUUUCCUUCUCAACCACUUUAUCAAAAUCAGGGAUGGCAGAGUUAAUAGGAUUGUUUUCGGGAUUAAAACCCGGCCCAGUUUGGGGGUUCAAAAUACCAGCUUGAAAUUGCUGAGGCAUGAUAGUGACAGUAGAUUUGCGCGGGUAUUCAGCUUGCGUUCGCUCAUGUGGAGGGGUGAAACCUGGAGGAUAGAAAAGUUCAUCAUCAUUUCCCUCAUCGACAUCCGCCAUGGGGCCCUUUCCUUUGUCGCUUCCCUUAGUUAUCAGUCGGGUUAACUUUGCCACUAUGUCCUCUUGAGAUUCCCGCAUCUUCUCAGACAUCUCCUGUUUCAUAUUGUCUAACCGUUCCUGCAUUUUUAGCUGAAGCCGAUCUUGCAUCUCCUUCUGGUACUGUUCUAGCUUCUAUAAUCUCUGAUCCAUAUCUUUUGUCUUUGCUCGAAUGCUGUAUCGGUGUCGGGUUGGUUGGUUGAUUUCCAGGUUAACUGAGCAAUGAUUUUAACUUAUUAGGAUUUAAUAAAGGUCUUUAAUGCAUAUGAUGUGAUGCUAAUGCAUAUGAUGCGAUGCAUGAGAUGAAUGCAAAAAAGGCGUUAAUUAUAAUUCAAUUCCCCUCAGAAAACUUUACUAGAGAAAAAAUUUCUUUACAUAAAAUAGCUAUAAAUACGGCUUUGCCCUAACACUUAGAACUUUAAUUUCCCUAAGUAAUGAUGCCAACUUCUGCCCCUGAUCUGAUUCCGAUUCAUACUUCACACUUAGUACAUCAGCUUGUACUGCCAAAGUCUGCAAGUGCUCAGCUACCCCUUGGAUCUGAACCACGGCUUCUCCCAUGAUGUGAUCCCUGCUUGCAACUUGAUCCUGAAGAUAGUGAAGCUGUUCAUUUUGAUGAUCUUCAUUUGCUUCCAAAUGUUCAAUUCUAGCUUCAUAGUCUUGUAACAUUGCUUCCAGUUCGGCCACCCUAGCUUUUAAUUCAUCAUUUUCGCUCUGGCUUUCGGACAAACUCCUCUCAAAGGACUUAUUUUGCUUUUGAGCCUCCUGAAAUCUCCUUUCCCACCUAUCAGCCUUAACCUUUUCUUCUUGAACUUCUUGACGCCAUUGCUCUGAGGUUUUUCCCAAUCCAGCAGUUCUCAUUGACAUACGUAGCCUCUUAUAAUCCGUCUUCAAGCUAUUCAAAUCCUCCUCAACUUUGCGCUUUUCUUUCCUCAGGCCUUCGGUUUCCAGCUUCUGAACAUCCACAUCCAGCUUCAGACUCAUCUUUUCCUCUUCCAUUUGCCAUAUCUUCUUUUCAAGCUCAGAAUUUCUUCUUUCAAAAUCUUGUUUUAUGAUUUCUAGCUCAGAAGGGACCAUAUGUACAUGCUUUCCUACAAGUUGACUGUCUCCUCGACCUGGUACAGGUAUGUUGUCAUUGACCCUCCUACCUAUCCAACUGGUAUAUUCAGGAGUCACUAAUGGACCUACUGCCAAUCUCUUCAAUCGACGAGUCUGCCUCCAAGCAUUAGUCAUUUCUCGUACCCUCUUCUUGUAGCCAUCACACUUAUACGAGAAUUCACUUUGAGCUAAUCAUUGGGUUGUAGGUACGAACUGCCUUGAUCUAUACUGCCUCAAUACCAGUAACGGUGCAUAACCAAUAGCUCCCCAAAUCCCAAGUAGGGAAUCCCAAUCAAAAUCUCCACACCUAUAUAAGAUCUCAUCUGACAGCAUCCAAGGAGCUCUCCACUCAAUAUCCCCUUCUUGAAGAUUCUGAAAAGUUGCCAUCCAUUUUUCCUCUGAGAUAUCAUCCUGCCUUAGUAAUGCCACUAUUUCCUUCAAGGGCGAAUAAUUUUCAGAAAAAACCCGAUAGGAAACCUUAUCCACCUUCCAAAAGUGACAGUGAAACCAUGCUAAAAGGAGCUGCGUGCAUCCAAUGAAUCUACCCUCACCUACUCUUUGACAUUCAUUCAGAGAUCUGAAGGUUUCUGCCAAAAUUGCUGGAACCGGUGCAACCCCCUUGUCAAAACGGUCAAAAAGGUCAAUGACUGCUUCAUCAAUAUGUCCCAAGGCUUUAGAAAAGACAACUAAGCCGUAAAUACCCAAGGCAAAGACAUCAACCUUCUUCCUCAUAUCUGGGUGUGCAAGAAUUAAAUCUUUUAGAUUCCUCCAAGGAAUGCAUUUACUAUCUCCCUUCUGUUUGAUUCGUGCUGCGACCCAUUGCUCACUCAUCCCCGUAAUAUUCAUUAGUUUCUUCGAAAAGGCUAGAGCAUUAGCAGCUCUCGAGUAGGCUUUAUCCACUUGGAUCUUCGAACAACGAAGCAAUGCCGUAUAUUCCUCCAUUGUAGGCACUAAAUCAACACUUCCAAAGGUGAAACAGCUAUAAGCAGGGUUCCAAAAUUGGGCUAAGGCACGUAACAGGUGCUUAUCCACCUUUACGUCGAGCAAGUAAGAUAGGUCUCCAUAGCUAGAAUAGAAGAGCUGCUUAAUCUCAUCAUUCCACCGGUCUCAAAUUUCCUGUAGUUCCUAUAGGUUAUUCUGAGCCACACUAACACGAGUGAAGUCCCACAACUCUGACACAUAUCCUUCGGCCAAACUAUCACCUUUCUCAUGCUAUGUUGUCUCAGACCAAGUUUGGACAGCCGCAUUAUCUUCCACCUUAUCAAAAAACCCUUUUUCCAUGAUAAGCUUUCUGUCUAGCAACCGAAUUUGAACUAACGCCCUUUUAGGAUAAAAUGUUAUGCUAUCAUGAUGUCAUGCAAAUAAAACAAAAGAAACCCAAGUCAGUAUCACAUAUAAAGAUAUAAACAAACAUAAAAUAGCAAGAAACACCUAAGCAGGAAUCCCCUAGGGUUUUGGGAUAGUUCUACCUAGGUCAAGUUCCUAAAGCUCACUAUAUGAAGUUUAGUUUCUAGAGUAAGGGUACCCAAACCAGCAGAUUCCUCGACCCUCACCCAUUAUAGGCUCACGUGGACCUAGUUCGGUUCAGGGGGACACAUUUCCCUAUGGCUGCACGGAGAUGAAAAUCUCACGAAGACAUAGGUACAGAUGUAUCCCGGAAGCGGUCCACUACCCUGCAUGGAGGUGAAAACCUCACGAAGGACUAGUUUCUCGCUCCCACUUAAGGGUAAAAUGCAAAAUGCAAAUGCAAGGUUACCAACAUGCUAAGAUGGAAAAACGAUGAAUGCGAAGGGAACUCAUGAAUUUUUUAAAACUUUUGAUUUUCGACACAAAGACAAAUAUAAUUAGUUUAUGGCUCGACUCUCAAGUGUCCCCAGUGGAGUCGCCAAGCUGUCGAAACCAUUUUUUGAAAACAAAAUUUUGUUGUCGACUUUUAAAAAUAAAACUGGAGUCACCACCGAUCCUUUAUUAAGGUGUGACCGGCCCACCUCAAAAAUUAUUUUGGUCUGCGAAUUUUGAAAACAGGUUCGGGAGUCAGUUACGCACGAGGAAGGGUUAGCACCCUCGUAACGCCCAAAAUCGGUACCAAAUUGAUUAUUUGAUGUCUUUUGUGUCGAAAGUUAAAAAGAUUUUAAAAUAAGCUUGAAUGAUGAAAUUUGCAAAAGGAUAUCCAAUUGUUCAAGUCAUGUACAGAAAUCGAGUCCCAAUACGUUAGGGUACAAUUCCUCAUAAUUCCCCAAACUUGAAUAUCACUUUUAUUUUAUACGACAAUCUUCAUUUCGAGAAAGUAACAUGCCACACCCAAUACGUUAGGGCACAACAAGUUAAGUUCUCAAAAAUGAUUUUUAUGCAUUUUGAAUAAAAAUGUUCUCAGUCAUUUAAGAUUGACUAAGAAAAUCAGAACCCAAUACGUUAGGGCUCAAUUUUCCUCGAAAAUCCCAAACUUCCAAGAAUACUUUUAUUCAAAAAAAAAAACUUUUAAAUCCAGAAAAUAAUUUUGAUGAAUGGUAAAAACCAAAAUAUUUUCAAAAAGGGUAUGUUUUUAAAAGAAAUAAUGUAUAACAUGGUACAAAACUUAAAUGUAAAACACAUAUGAGUACAUAUUUACAAAAUAUAAAUACAAGUGUAGUAAACAAAUUUACAGGUAGAUAUGCAUAUAUACUCAACACAUAUACAAUUAUACAUAAACAAGACGGAACGUGAUAUAUGUAUAUAUAUAACGCAUGAAGGUGUGAAGGUGAAAACAAAAAAAAAUACACAUACGUUAAUGCACAUGCAUAAGUAUACAAAUGAAUAACAAAAUUCAUAAAAAUUUCCCCAAGCAUGCAUAUAUAAAAGAACAUAUAUACUAUAAAAUGUAGAUGUAUACGCAUAUAUAUACAUAUUUAUUUUUUUAAAAAAAACUAUGGAAACAGAAUAUGUAUAAAAAUAUAUAAAAUAUGCGUAUAUAAGAACUAAAAUAUGCAUGUAUAUAUGUAUCUAUUUUUUAAAAAUGUAUAAGUAUGUACGUACACAUAUAUAAAGUACGAGAAAAAUAAAAAAUGGAAAAAAAAACCAUGAAAAGAAAAAUUUAAGAAAAAUGAAUGUGGUAAUAAUAGUAAUAAAUGAAAUCAUGAUAUAGCAUAAAUUUCUUAAAUAAAAAAAACUAAAUAAAUAAAGUAGCUAAAAAAAAGUUAAAUUGCACUAGAAAAAAAUGGGUAAAUUUGAAGCAAAUUAAAAGACAGGACCACACUGAAUGCGCGCACAACAGUGGAGGACCAAAAGGGAAAAUAUCCCCUCCUUCCAAAACGCUGCGCAGAAAGGGACUGAAUUGAAACAGAUAUCGAGUAUGCGGCCCAAUUUAAAACAAAAUAAAACUGGUCUAAUUGAAGCACGCUGCAAAAGGUGAGGGGCCAACUGCGCAAUUAUUCCAUCUGACGUCAGAGCGGGCGGAUCCUCCCCUCCGGGUUGGGUCACCGCGCGGGUCAAGGCCUGGGCUAAACGACGCCGUUUUGCAUGUUAUUUAAAACAAAUUUCCUUUCGAAAAUCAUUUACCAGUUAACAGAAAAGAAAGAAAAAAAACUUUUAAAAAAAGUAAAAAACUUUCUGGCGCUCUGCUAGGGUUUAAUACCCAAGCUUCCUCGCGCCGCUUCCCUAUCACCCUCCGCCGCGACUCCGUGUAAUCGGAGGCCGGAGGGGUGCCAGAUCUGGGCUCUUUAACCCCUCCUAACAACUCUUGAAGGCCAAGGUAAGUCUCCCUUCCUUUAUUCUUUUUAUUUUCGUACACAAAAGCACAAAUAAAAAAAAACUGAAACUUCAAAUAAUCACCUUAAAAAUACUGAUGUUUGCUUUGUUUUCUCUUUGAUCUCCCCUUUCUUUUUACAAAAGACCGACUGUUUUAUAGCCUAACACUAACCUAUUUUCCUUGUCUUUUGUUGUUUUACAUUAUUUGGACUCUUUGAGUCCGUUUUACAAGUAUUUGAGGAGCGAACGGCGUGCGUGGGGAAGCCGAUCUCCGAGUCUUGCGGCGACUGGACGUUGGGCGCGACGUGGGGCUGAUGGGGCUUGCGGCGCUAGACAUGCGGCUAGGGUUUGGGUGUUUUGGGGUCUGGUUUAGGAUAAAUUGAUUUGGGCUGGGUUAUUGGGCUUGUUUGUUUCUUUGGGUUUUAUUUUUAACAGGCCGGAUAAAAUUGGGCCCUACAGUAUAUAUCGAUACUUAACUCAUUCAACGAUCACUAACAAUUAUUUUUUAGUCAAAAUAUCAGUAUUGAUAUCAAUACAUUAAUUAGAGGAUCAAUUUUUCAAUUUAAAACUAAUGCUAGCAACGACUCUAUUUCACUUUCAAAUGUCCACAAACUCAUUUCUUAUUAUAAAUACAGCUACAAAAUAUAAGAGAGUAACAUCCAAA
rnacentral:lncRNA from 1 species